rnacentral:rRNA from 1 species
UCAAGCUAAAAAGGGCGCAAGGUGAAUGCCUUGGCACUGGGAGCCGAUGAAAGACGUGGUAAGCUGCGAAAAGCUUCGGGGAGGAGCAAACAUCCAUUGAUCCGGAGAUAUCUGAAUGGGGCAACCCAAUGGAGUUCAUACUCCAUUAUCCAAUACUGAAUCCAUAGGUAUUGGAAGGGAACCGCCUGAACUGAAACAUCUAAGUAGGGCGAGGAAGAGACAUCAAACGAGAUUCCGUAAGUAGUGGCGAGCGAACGCGGAAGAGGGCAAACCGAGAGUAGAAAUACUUUCGGGGUACGGACUGCUUUUAAGACUUAAUCUGUUAACCGAACGGCAUGGGAAGGCCGGUCAGAGAGUGUGAGAACCACGUAGGUGAAAACGGAGAGAGCUGCGCAGGAUCCAGAGUACGGCCAGACACGUGAAACCUGGUCGGAAUACGGGGGGACCACCCUCCAACCCUAAAUACUACCCAGUGACCGAUAGCGUAUAGUACUGUGAAGGAAAGGUGAAAAGCACCCCGGGAGGGGAGUGAAAAAGAACCUGAAACCCUGUGCCUACAAGCACCUAGAGCGCGUCAAAGCGUGAUAGGGUACUUUUUGUAGAACGGUCCGGCGAGCGAUUGUAUGCAGCAAGGUUAAGGACUUAAGGUCUGGAGCCGAAGCGAAAGCGAGUUUGAAAAGGGCGUUAAGUUGCAUAUAAUGGGCCCGAAACCGGGUGACCUACCCAUGGUCAGGUUGAAGUGGAAGUAAAAUUCCAUGGAGGACCGAACCGACCUCCGUUGAAAAGGCGGCGGAUGAACUGUGGGUAGCGGAGAAAUUCCAAUCGAACCCGGAGAUAGCUGGUUCUCCCCGAAAUAGUUUUAGGACUAGCCUCAAGUUAGAUACCUGGAGGUAAAGCACUGAAUAGCCUAGCGGCCGAGAGGUUAGCGAAGCUUAUCAAACUCAGAAUGCCAGAGUAUUGAUGCUUGGGAGUCAGACAGUGUCAGAUAAAUGUCAUUGUCAAAAGGGAAACAGCCCAGAUCUACAGCUAAGGUCCCAAAGUCAGGUUAAGUGGAAAACGAUGUGAAGAUACGCAGACAACCAGGAUGUUGGCUCAGAAGCAGCCACUCAUUCAAAGAGUGCGUAAUAGCUCACUGGUCGAGCGUCUUUGCGCGGAGAAUUUAACGGGGCUAAACCUGACACCGAAGCUUAGGCAAUACAGUAAUGUAUUGGGUAGGGGAGCGUUGUAUACGCGGAGAAACAGUAGCGCAAGCGGCUGUGGAGUGUAUAGAAGUGAGAAUGCCGGAAUGAGUAGCGCGAAUGCAGUGAGAAUCUGCAUGGCCGAAAGCCUCAGGUUUCUGGAGGAAGGUUCGUCCGCUCCAGGUUAGUCGGGAGCUAAGGUGAGGCCGGAAGGCGUAGCCGAUGCACAGACGGUAGAGAUUCCGUCACCACCAAAAGAGUUAAGCACAGGGACACAUAUGAAGUCUCAGAGCCGGGUGUUGGUUCCGGUAGAGAUCGAGGGAAGUUAGUACCGAAGUCUGAGAUGGAAGAUGGCGAGAAAAGCUGUGUGUAUUUCUGAGGUGCCCGUACCGCAAACCGACACAGGUAGGUAGGAAGAAGAUUCUAAGGCCAACGGGAGAAGGGUUGUUAAGGAACUCGGCAAAUUGACCCCGUAACUUCGGGAGAAGGGGUGCUCCAGAGAUGGAGCCGCAGAGAAUCGGCCCAAGCAACUGUUUACCAAAAACACAGGUUUGUGCUAAAUCGAAAGAUGACGUAUACGAGCUGACGCCUGCCCGGUGCUGGAAGGUUAAGAGGAGAUGUGCAAGCAUUGAAUCGAAGCCCCAGUGAACGGCGGCCGUAACUAUAACGGUCCUAAGGUAGCGAAAUUCCUUGUCAGGUAAG